rnacentral:tRNA from 1 species
CGACUUAGCUCAGCUGGUAGAGCAUCGGUAUCGUAAACCGGCGGUCGGAGGUUCGAAUCCUCUAGUCGG